UACCUGCUCAUUCUAGCAAAUUUCUUACACUUCAGAGAAAACUAUUGAAGGCACUGCAGCUGGUAUAACAUCUGUCCUCGCUGCUUGCUUGGUUCUUGUUCCACUUUUGGCAUCCACUGGAUACAUUCUAGCUCAGCACUGGCUCCCUGUUUUAAUAGUUGUGACCACAAGCGGUCUGUUGGAGGCCUACACAACGCAACUUGAUAAUGCUUUCAUACCACUUGUCUUCUACAGCCUCCUUUGUUUGUAAAUGCACACUUCAACCUUCCAGAAAGCUUAAACAGAUGAGAAUUCCUUA